rnacentral:rRNA from 1 species
CGAUAUCGACGGUUUGAUCAUGGCUCAGAAUCAACGCUGGCGGCGUGCCUCAGACAUGCAAGUCGAACGAUUAAAGCUCUCUUCGGAGAGUGUAUAGAGUGGCGCACGGGUGAGUAACACGUAAGUAAUCUACCCUCGAGUGGGGAAUAACAACCGGAAACGGUUGCUAAUACCGCAUAAUGCAGCGGCACCGCAAGGUGACAGUUGUUAAAGAUUUAUCGCUUGAGGAGGAGCUUGCGGCAGAUUAGCUAGUUGGUAGGGUAACGGCUUACCAAGGCUACGAUCUGUAACCGGUCUAAGAGGACGGUCGGUCACACUGACACUGAAUAACGGGUCAGACUCCUACGGGAGGCAGCAGUCGGGAAUUUUGGGCAAUGGGCGAAAGCCUGACCCAGCAACGCCGCGUGAAGGAUGAAGUAUUUCGGUAUGUAAACUUCGAAAGAAUAGGAAGAAUUAAUGACGGUACUAUUUAUAAGGUCCGGCUAACUACGUG